GGGGCGUUAGACCGUAGGGGUAGCGGGACAGACUGUAAAUCUGUUGCUCAAAAGGCUCGGGUGGUUCGACUCCAUCACUCCCCACCA
rnacentral:tRNA from 1 species